GGGCCGGAUAAUUGACGUGCCAUGUAUACGUUCGUUAUGAGCAUGCAGCCCAUGAUUUGCCCCACAUCUCUUCAGCACAGCGUUGUUGAUCUGUUCCUUGCUCCAGUUUUCUCUUUGAACGAUCAUUAAUUGUCUCUGUGCUAAGUUCAUCACCAAACCUAGCUUUGCUUCUACCAGUGACAGAUCAUCAAUUGUCUCUGUGCUCAGUUCAUCACUAAACCUAGCUUUGCUUCUACCAGUGACAGAUCAUCAAUUGUCUCUGUGCUCAGUUCAUCACCAAACCUAGCUUUGCUUCUACCAGUGACAGAUCAUCAAUUGUCUCUGUGCUCAGUUCAUUACCAAACCUAGCUUUGCUACUACCAGUGACAGAACCACCAAGAAGCAUUUCUAUCUUUACAUCUACAACAGUUGUUAAUAUGCACACAUCAUUAACAUGCUUUUACAUCAUAUUGUACAUCUCUUACUUCUGGCAUGUAUUUGCACACAUUUUGACUCUAUAGUACCAUAUCGCCCUGUGCAAAUGACAGUGCAUUUUGUACAAUCAAAGUACACCAAAUCCUGUCAUUCCUGUGUCACACUGAAUUGGAAUGCACAAGACCUUUCCUACAUCUUUUGUUUCUUCACUUGCCUGCAGUCAUUUGCCCUUCUUGAUCCGAUUCCUUUUCCCACACACAAUGGCUGAGUUGGAUUCCAGUCCAUCAAGGAAAAAACAAAGACUUCUUCAUUCCUCCUUUGAAGUCAACCAGAUGGCGAUUGCUCUUGAUCACACCUACCACAUUUCAUGCGCUAUUCCCUCUGUGUCUAGCAAACAUAUCUCUCCCAGUGUGAUUGCUUUAGAUCACACUUAUAGUCAUUCAUGUGCUAUUUCAUUUGUGUCAAACAAACAGAUCUCAACACAAAGCUCUACAGCAGUACAGGACCAAAGCAUCAUUCCCAGUGUGAUUGCUGUAGAUCACGCUUACAGUAGUUUAAGUACCAUUUCACCAACUACGCAGGUAUCAAGACUACCUUCACAUUCGUCUAUUGGCUUUGCUUUGUCUGAUAUUGAUUCUUUUCAAGAGCAGACUAUUCCUUGCAAUCCAAAUCAACCAUCUGUAUUGGCAUGGCCACAUAAUUCUGGCCAAAUGUCUCACGAAUGCCCACAUUGUCAUGCACUUCUAUAUUCCAAGGAGCGUUCAUCCACCAACAAGUUCAAUCUCUGUUGCAGAAACGGUAAAGUGAAAUUGACUCCAACACCAACACCUCCUGAACCACUCCAAACGUUCUUAACUUCUUCAGAACCAUCACUCCUUGCUUUUCGCAAACAAAUACGCACAUACAAUAAUGCCUUAGCCAUGACAUCGUUAGGUUGCAAUGAACAAACCAUUCCAGGACAGUGGAUGCCUCCCCUCACAAUUCCACCAUUUACAGCACAAUCCUUAACAAUUCCAACUCACCUACUUACAUACAAACUUUCUUAGAACAUUCUCCAAUGUCAAUCUAAUCAGAUUGCCAAAGUUAGCACACAAAUACAGACAUCUGUGGACUUCGCACUACGCCACAUGGAUAGUCCGAAACCCCUGCUUCGACUGCAAGCACGCCAACACAUCACCGCACUGGGCGAAGAAGUUCCAUCUGCACUCAACAAACUUUCAGCUUCACUCCGCCAAUCACCAGACAACCCAAGUGAUGACAUUCUUUCUGAGGCAGGAUGGUCCGACAUCGAAGCACUGCCAGAUGACGCCUUCAACGACGAAAUUGCUGAUAGCCCACUCACCGAUAUCCCACUCAACGAUAAAGAAACUCCUCCAGAAACUGAAAAUUAAACACCUUCUACAAAAGCUACUUCCCCAAACAUCGUCUAGAAACCCCUUACAAACGUAGUUAGCCACGUAGUUUUUUAAAGUUGUAUUACUUUUUUAUUAAAUAAAUCAGUUACAAAAUCGCUUCCAUUUAUAUCAUUAUUAGCAACCCUUAUUACAAAACACACACACGCUGUCCAAAUUCUUUCUCAAAACUCGGUUCAAAUUCACAAUUUCCUAUUACAGCUACAGUGCCAUCCCCUUCAAACUCAUACUCUGCCACUAAAAAAAAAAACAACUUACUCAUCGCUCUACAUUAUAAUUUAUUACUUUUGUAUUUUCUGUAAUAAAAAACGCCAUACUCCUCUACUUUUUUCCAAUGUUAUCCCUUCUUUUUCUAUACAAUGUGUACAACCCCUGGCCCUGACUUCAGUAUCCGCAAAUACAAAAAUCUGUUAUUCCAUUCUUUCCUAAAAAGUCCAUUUCUCUCUACUGGAAACGCUGUCCUGUGUCCUCAACAAAACUCUUAAGCGAAACAAAUAGGCCAUCAGCUUGGGAGUUUGGUCAAUAUCAAAUCACAACAUAAAUGAUUAUAGUGCACAGGCACAAGGUAUACCGCCCCUAAAGUGGUAACAAGAAUUUUGAUGGACAUUUUAAAAAAUGAGGUUGAAAACACCUAAACAACUGCCACCGCUGCAAUGCUAUCACAUAUUUUCCAACUAUGGAGGUGUAUAACUUGCCGAAAGUCGCAAUGACGAUUAUUCCUCUCAUUUAUGAUUCCGAUUGCCAAAAUAUUUCACCAAGGCUGAUCGCCUCAAAUAAAAUGAGUCAAAACA